rnacentral:rRNA from 1 species
UACGAAGGGGGUUAGCGUUGCUCGGAAUUACUGGGCGUAAAGCGCACGUAGGCGGAUUGUUAAGUCGGGGGUGAAAUCCUGGAGCUCAACUCCAGAACUGCCUUCGAUACUGGCGAUCUCGAGUUCGGGAGAGGUGAGUGGAACUGCGAGUGUAGAGGUGAAAUUCGUAGAUAUUCGCAAGAACACCAGUGGCGAAGGCGGCUCACUGGCCCGAUACUGACGCUGAGGUGCGAAAGCCAGGGGAGCAAACGGG